rnacentral:tRNA from 1 species
UGCGGGUUAGAACAGUGGUAGUUCGCUAGGCUCAUAACCUAGAGGUCGAGGGUUCGACUCCCUCACCCGCUA